rnacentral:rRNA from 3 species
CUGGCUCAGGACGAACGCUGGCGGCGUGCCUAAUACAUGCAAGUCGAGCGGACAGAUGGGAGCUUGCUCCCUGAUGUUAGCGGCGGACGGGUGAGUAACACGUGGGUAACCUGCCU